rnacentral:rRNA from 1 species
CUACGGGGGGCACCAGUGGGGAAUAUUGGGCAAUGGGCGCAAGCCUGACCCAGCAACGCCGCGUGAGGGAAGAAGGUUUUCGGAUUGUAAACCUCUGUCCUUGGGGACGAAGAAGUGACGGUACCCAAGGAGGAAGCUCCGGCUAACUACGUGCCAGCAGCCGCGGUAAUACGUAGGGAGCAAGCGUUGUCCGGAAUUACUGGGCGUAAAGGGUGCGUAGGCGGCAUAUUAAGUCAGGUGUGAAAUACUCGGGCUCAACCCGGGGGCUGCAUUUGAAACUGAUAUGCUUGAGUGGGAGAGAGGAAAGUGGAAUUCCUAGUGUAGCGGUGGAAUGCGUAGAUAUUAGGAGGAACACCAGUGGCGAAGGCGACUUUCUGGCUCAUAACUGACGCUGAGGCACGAAAGCGUGGGGAGCAAACAGGAUUAGAUACCCCCGUAGUC